CGACGGUUUAGUUUGUCCCUCUCCGCCCCAUGCCCUCGCGGGUUGUGGGGUGGACAUCAGGCACGCCCCGUGUUCCCGGCAAGCCAUGCCCAGCUGCUUGGCUGCCUUGGCCCAUUGGGUGCUCUGCCCGUGCUCUCGGAUGCAGAAUGUYGUGCGCGGGUGUGGGGUCUGUUGGCUCCGUUUGCCCAAGCAAUGCAUCUGUCCAUCGACACGAACGACUGUCGUGCCCGUCUUGAGCCCGCAGCAGCCUCAGGGCCUGUUGGGUCUCAUACGGGCGUCGGCGUCGCGAAGGAACGCUACC
rnacentral:misc_RNA from 1 species